AGCCACCUAGAAUUUUGAGAGAUUUAACCAAGUAGGAGAAUUCUUCCAUAUAAUUUCAUUCUGGGAGAUCAGUAAAAAGGAACCCAAAGGUGUUGCAGAUAUAUAUGCGGGAUUUCUCACGCCAUGAUCUUCUCAGUUCCGUGCUCUCUUCUUGGAGUACCAUAAACCAUUUUGACCUACUAAACGUUCCCUUAAAUCGCAAUCAUUUCAUUUGAUUUCGUCUUUAACUGCAAAAGAGGAGGGAAGGACAGAACGAUCAAAUACUUUUGUAUUCACCUCAUUUGAAAGAAAAUCAGUAGUUAGAAGAACAGAACAGAAGAGAAAUGGCGAAAUCGUGCAAAGGGUUAGCGGCGGAGUUAGUCAAAUGUCUUAGCGAUUCUCCCUGCGUCAAGGAGGAGAAGCGUUCAUAUAGAGAAUGUGCAGGGGAAAAGGAUCCUGCAAUUCCAAGUGAAUGUGUGGGCUUAAGGGAAACAUAUUUCAAUUGCAAGCGUGGCCAGUCCAAAUGCAGAAAGAUCAAAGGCAAAAAUCAUCCCGAAGUAGACAGAAUUCCAGCCAAAUUGCUGUUUUGAGAGCCGAAGGCAACAGCCACCACCGAGAAUAAAAAAGGAAACCAUCCAAUGAUGAAACAUAAAAAGAUGAACUAGUCUAGCUACCUUUGAAUCAGGAGGAAUUGUGGUGUCAAAGAGGGAAGCUCACAUCAUAAACAACUCGAAGAUUCUAAGGGAGCAUUUUUCCAUUUUUAUUCAAACUUCCAAAUGCAGAUCCUCUUGUAGAACAGAAGAUGGUUAGGCACACCUAAAUUUAUCAGAAAUAGUUUAGGAACAGAAGGCAUUGACAUGGUCCUUCAAGAAACUUUCAGCUCAGAGUCCUAGAAGGCCUCGAGUAUUCAGGUCAUUGGGGAAGUAUUCAUGUAUAGUUGUAAGUAAACACUCUCAAUGAUUCAUUGAGAUCCAUCUAUGUAUGCACUACACUGAUAUCAAUCAUAUUCUUGUGGUACAUUUAUGUUUUCUUCUCUUUCAAAUUUCAAUACUAUUAUAAGAUUGUCAAUAUUUACAUCCUGCGUAGUGGAGACAAUGUAAUUUCUUUCAUGGAACAUUUUACAGUACAGAUCAUCAGCAUUGGUUCACACAAUCUUAUACUUAUGGGCAUUGUUAGCACAAUAAGUCACUGGAUGGGAAAAAGGGGUAUCAGGUUUCAAUCAUCGAACAGAGGUCCCUCACUAAGCUGGCAAUAGAUACUUCUGUUAAGGACCUUGACUUUGACCAAGGCACCUGCACUUGGAGUAAUACUGCGGGAUACACUAAAUUGCUGAAAAAUUAGACAGAGUUGUUGUUUUUUAUUAGUGGAUCAUGGCCAACACACAAUUAGGGUUGGAGACUCCAGGUUUUGAGAGCAUUGUUCCAUUUCCCUCACUAUAUCAUGCAUACUGAGGAGUGAAUUGAUUCAAAUGUGAAAAAAUGUAGCUCUCACAUAUUGACCUUAGUGAUAAUGUAGUGAAAUGCUAGGCUGCUGCAAGCAUCAUUCCAGGCCAUGAACUGUCUAUGUUCAUGGAAAAGAUCAGAUAACUCAAAACCAGAUUGAGACAAUGGAAUAAUGACAAUUUCUGGUAAUAUAUUUCAGCAAUUCUUGGAAAUAAAAAAUCAGUUUGUAAUGUUUCAAAAAGAAAUCUGGCAUAAGGGUUUCCCUUAAACCAUGACAAAUAGGUAACAACCUCUCAUCCAUAGCCCGAUCAGUACUUAAUAAUAGAUGGCAGUGUUACAGAGAGCAGUGUAUUACACAUGGAGACUCCAAUACUAAAUGGUUCCACAAAUUGUUUGAGCAGGCAACGUUGCAAUGCAUCACAUUUUGUCAAAGAGGUUUUUUUAUCUCUUAUUCCAGUGAAGUUCUUACAUGUACAGCAGACCAUAUCCAAAUGAUCAUCACUAAAGAGCUGAUAAACAAGAACAUAACGGGAUUUCAAAUAUAUCCAAAAUUUAAUUGAGCAGAAAAUAACCAAUUGAUGAGGCCCAUCACAGAGUAAUAAAUGCAAAGCACAAUCUUUUCCUUCUAGUGAAAUAAGGCCCCAAGUUCAGGUGGAUUUCCAGUUUUUUUUAUAUUGAAUAUAUUGGCACAUCCUCAAAGAUGAUCUUUUAGCUCGGCUUGGUUUGAUGAGUCAUAAAGAAAUUAAAAAAUGCUUUGCAAGAUGAUUAUAAUGGCCCACCUUUAUUUUCAGCAAACAAGUCAUUGGAUAGAUUGAUGGUUUUUAAUAUAGAUGCAAAAGCAUAUGGAUUUCAAAGAAUUGAUGUUUUUCAAUUAAUCAAGGAGACAAAGCUCCUUUAAAUAGAGUUACAAAGAUGAUGUUUCUAAAAGAAACAAUCAUUAACUAGAGGUGAAAUUAGAAACAACUUAAAUGACCAUUAAUAACACAAAGAGAAAGAUAUUAUUUUAAUACCCUCCCUUAAUGAUCAUCGUUCUAACUACCAAGAGAAAUAACAGAGAAGCUUGCCCCCUUCUUCUCAGAACAUGCUGCAACAGAAGACAAGACCCUGCCACUAACUCUGCCACUUGAGAUGAGUUUGCCACCAACCCUCCUAGAAACUGCAGAACUUUUGGAGAUACCCAAAACAACACCAACCGUCCAACCUGAUGUUGGAGAACUGUUCUUCCCUGUAACUAGAGACACACCAAGAACAGUUGUCACGAUUUUGAGGAAAAAAUCGGCAAACCCUCCAAACUAUUGCAGAUGAGCAAGAUGCCCGAAAAUAGACUACAAACAAGAGACUAGUGCAGAUGUUCGCACAACAACUUUAGGUGCGACUAAAAACAGACUGCAACAAAGUACAAUUUUUGAGGAAAAAAUCAUAAACCCUCCCAUGAUUUUUUUUUAUAGGGACAAAAAAUAUUUAAAAACCCAGAGACUUUUUUUAAGGGAAAAAAAUAUUAAAACCCAUCAGAAUUUUUUUUCAGGUAAAAAAAUAUUAAAAACCAAAACAAACAUUGAUGCCCAUAAGCCAUCUUCAUGCUUUUCGAGGCACCCAAAACUAGGUACUUAGAAGAUGCUAAGUGCACAAAACCUGAUUGCCUUCCAACAUCAAGUUGGUCAAUGACACCAUCUUGCAUGUUUCCCAAUGCACGGAAAAUGAAAAAACUGAGAAGAGGCGCUGGCACUGAAUUGAAAAAAUUCGAAUCCCAAUGCAGAAACAGAGGCAGAUGCAGGUACAAACUUCAAAAAAUGAAGUACGGUUGGCAUGAAUUUCAAGAAAAAAUUCCGGCUGACCCAAAAAAAUCCGAAGACAACCCACAAAUCCUUGCGAAAAACCUAGAAAGAAUCUUCUAUCAGAAUCUGGAUCUGCUGGCUCAAAAAUCGAGGCACCCAAAAAAUUAUGACGACGACCCAGUUGAGAUCUCGAAAAACCCACCAAGAAUCUGCAAUGGGAAAAAAUUUUCGACUUGAUCUGAACCGAAAAAACCCUAGUCGAAAAUGCAGAUUUCUGUCCAAAAAAUGGCUGAAAAAAUUUGCAGGCGGGAAAAAAAUCGUGACGCGCGAAAUGCAGGAGAGACGGGUUGCGGGAGAGGGCAGAAAAUGGCUAGAAAAUAGCUGAAAACCCUAGUAGCCGCAGCCAAAACGAAUUGCCAAAAAACAGAAAUUUUUUCAAAAAAAACUGUUAAAAAUUCGUGACGAAUUUUUAAUUGAAAAAUUAUUUCGAAAAUAACCAAGGCUCUGAUACCAUAAUACAGAUGCAAAAGCAUAUGGAUUUCAAAGAAUCGAUGUUGUUCAAUUAAUCAAGGAGACAAAACUCCUUUAAAUAGAGUUACAAAGAUGAUUGUUUCUAAAAGAAACAAUCAUUAACUAGAAGGUGAAAUUAGAAACAACUUAAAUGACCAUUAAUAACACAAAGAGAAAGAUAUUAUUAUAAUAGUUUUAACUAAACUUCGAUGCAUUCUAUCUCUAUCAAUGGAGAAAUGGUUACUCCUUUUUUGUCUUCAAUAUGCUUACAUCAAAGAGACAUUUUCAGCAUGUAUGCAUUCACCAUUGUGGGAGAGAGUAUAUCCAAGCUCCUUGAAAGAGGCACAGAGUAUUGGAAAGAUUUAUGGAUUUCAAAUUGUUGAUAGAGCAAUAAAUAUGCUAACUUCUAUUUGGUUGAUGAUGCAUUGCUUUUCUGCACUCAUUGUUAGGUAAAUAAAAAAAUUGGGAAGGAUUCUCACCAAAUGUCAGGUGGUCUUGUGACAGAACUGAGAUACAAAUAAACACAUAUCUCACAUAGUUUUUGCGUGUGUUAUUGCAAUAAGAAAGGGAAUUCCUUAGGAUUCUCAAAUCUCAAAACCCAAUACCAUCCACUGUACUUGAGAUUCCCAUCAUAUCUGAAGCUCAAAGAAAAUCUUCGGGAUGGAACUAUACAUCAACUUCAAAAUAAGUUCUCACUGGACACUCUGUUGGCUCUCAUUUGCUGGAAAAUAACUACUGCUGAACUCUGUUCCACAAGCAGUUUUGAUUUAUCAGUUCAAAUUUCUAUCUCUUCCUAAGAAUAUUGAAUAUUUUUUAGUCACUAUUCAAGGAGAUUUUGUUUGAAAAGGGUUCAACGAAAAGCACAAAUAUCCUCUGGUGUCAUGGAAAAUGUAAUCCAAAAAAUUAAGGAGGCCUAAAUUAACAAAAUAUUUAAUUUUUUGACGAAGCACUUGUAAUGAGAGCAACAUGCCACCUUCAGAAGGAUGCACCCACCAUCUGGAGCCCUAUCAUUGAGUAAAACUAAUCUCAGCUAACAAGGUAAUAUCCUCUUGGAGGAGUAGCAAACCACCUUCUUAGGGACCGCCAGACUUCUCUGAAUAGAUACGACUAAUGGACAAAACAUUUGACCAUAGGAGAAUAGCUGGAACAAACUGCCUGCCAUUCAAAACUCUAAACUACAGGAGUUUUAUGUGAUGAACCUUGCUGGUUCAACUCUUCAACUGCUGUAAUUUGUAGAUCUUCUUUGUAAUUUUUAAUUAUUAAGAUGGUCUUUCAGAAUUAGACCGAAGUUGCGGAAGAGGGUUUCUUUAAUUUGCAACACAUAUAGAAAUAAUACAUGAAUUUAAUCAACUGAAACAAUGAAUUGGAGAAUUUAUAAGCAUACCCAUAGGUCCUUAGCCAAUUUAUUGAAAAGAAAGAAUAAAUCAGCAAUUUACAAAGUUCUGAUUUUUAUUCUGAAACAAUUCAGAUCUGCUCUUAUUUAAUACUAAGGCACCCAAACAGUAGAAGAUGGCGCCAAUAAAUGAGCAAGCCGUGUGUUUGAGAAAAGAAGCCUCCAAACCACAGAAGAAUUAAUCAACAAAACAGUAAAUAGGGAAACCUACAACAAAUCUGCCUUGUAAGAAGCCAAAUCUGCCCCAAUUCAAUUCAAUUUGACUUUUGAAUGAAGCCAAUCAAGCUGCAACAAUUCGAUUGAUCUUUCACAAUCUCAAAGCUAUUGAAUUCUGAAGAAUGCACGCUCUCCAAAAUAGGUCCAAACCCUAGCCGCCAUAGCCAAGUGCUUAGAAGAUAAUGUCAAAUGCUCAAUAUCAAUGAAUGAGGUUUAAUUUCCAUCUUGGCUGCCUAAAUACCCAAAAGGUGCGAUUUUUGGCAAUUAGGGAUUUAAAAAUUAUAACUUGCUUUUAGGAUUUCCAACUUAACCCUAAAAGCAAUGCCUAGCUUAGGAGAUAAUAAAUAUUCACUUAAAUAAAUUUAAGUGAUGCACUUUAUGAUUUUAUAUUAAUAUUUCAUUAAAAUAUUAAUUGCCUGUGGAACCACUUAAAAAUUCAUAUCUCUCUCAUUAUUGCUCGGAAAUUGAAUCUGUCAGAAGCUAGGGCCACAGUUCGCCAUGCCAAUGAAAAUAGGACCAUGUCUAUUUUUAGCAAAUUUUCCCUAAAAAAUAGGAAAUCCUCAUAAAGUGUCAGAAACUGAUGAAACGAAGACCAGAACUGAACUCAACACUGAACUAGAACAAAUAGAUAGACCACUCCUCAAGAUAUUGCAUUACUGACCCCUUUAUCCAUACCCUGUUAGCCUACAAGGGUCCAAAAAUAGGCUAACUCCUCAAACCCAAGUCCUUGACUAGGAUGGGGACAUUACACUUUAACAUGUUCUCUAGGCACAAGGGUAUACCCAUGUCAUGGAUUAUUAUUAUUAUACAAAUUUAGUGGGAUAUGGAAAAGAUGAAAGCAGUAGAAUGCAAACCUAAUUUAAAUAGAACAACCUCUAAUGGAGCUGUACAAUGUACUUGUUUUUCGUGUGAACACAUAAGAUACAAUGACUUUUAGGACUCAGUUUGCUGUACACCUUCCAAUCCUUAAAUUAUUUUGAUAAUUGUAGUGUUGUAUUUAGGACCCUCUUGGGAUGGGGCACUAUUUUUGUGAGGAGUCUGAAGAUUCCUUGUUAUGACAUAUCUUGCCUCUUGGAAUAUGUGUAAUGAUAGUUGUAAGAGCAUUAAUACUAGGAGUUACAAGUAGACUAGGUUGAGCAUUUUUAACCAGGUAAAUAUAACAGUGUUUAAGAGCAUCUUGUAAGAGCAGCUAGUGCUCCCAUAUGCAACACUUAGGUUAACUAGUUGAUUCCCUUGCUCGCAAGGGGUGAUCCUUCUUUGGGAAAUAUCUUCAAUGUAUGGAAUAGGUGGAACACACGGGUCUCAUUGGAUUCACUUGACCCAUGGUUUGUAACUUAUGAAUUGAUCCCUAGUCUUGGAAACCAUUUGCAGUCUUGGUUGCCUCUUGCUUAUAAAUCCAAGGUUUGGGAUGGAGUUCCAUAUGGUUUCUGUAUGACAAGUACAUGUUGCCAGAAUUGCUUUUGACAGAGUUGAACAUCUCCUUGAUAGUAUAGAUGCAUUCUUUUUGCAUUUUAAUUUUAUUAUUGUUCCUAUUUAUAUUAUAAUUAGAGUGGUGUUAUUUGUUUACUGGGUUUUUAAAUGAUAGGGCUUCCUAGGGUAUAUCUUAUUUUAUGUGUUUUUUUUUGGUCCACAUUAUGGAACCCCCUGUGUCCAUAUACUAACUUGCAUUCUUCACUUGUGUCUAUAUACUAACUUGGGUGCCAUUUUUGCUUCAAUUCUAUCGUCAUUUUGGUAAGGAAAACAUGUUUUUUGGUGCUUGAUUGAGUUUAAGCCCCUAUUUACUUUUUGUUGGAGGUUUUGGAUGUUUUAUGCUGCUAACACCAAGUAAUGAAAAUUGGCAAAGUUUGUGCUUGAUGGAACUUUCUUUAGUGGAUGCCAAAAGGUGGAACUUGUGGAGGUUUUUGCCAUCAAUGCAAAGGAAAAUUGUCAAAGUUGACCCUUGGUGGAACUUUUUCCACUUGAUACCAAAAAGUGGAACUUGUGGAGGUUUUGGUCAUCAAUGCCAAGUUGUAAAAAUUGGCAAAGCUGGCACUCGGUGGAACUUUCUCUUGUUGACACCAAAAAAUGGACUUUAUGGGGGUUUUUGCUAUCAAUGCAAAUUUUCAAGUUGAUAUGAGGACUCGUAUCCGAGGGAACAAAGGUUACUGAAGCAUUUGAUUUUCUGGUACUACAGCUUGUGGUUUCCAUUGCAACAAUUUUGUGGAGAAUCUUAAUGUAAAUUUAGGCUUUUGGUGAGGUGAAUUUUAAAUCAUAUCUAGAGUUUUCUAAACUGUUUUAGUGAGAAAUAUAUGUAAGUGUAUUGAACCAAACAAUAAAAAUCUUUCCUUCAUAGUUU